CACGGGGAGAACAUGCAAACUCCGCACAGAAAGGCCUGGGACGACCAAAUGUCGGACCCAAGAUCUUCUUGCUGUGAGAAAACGCUGGCAGCGGUUGGAACAGCAGCGUCACUUCCACGCAACAUACAACUACAACAACAACAACAACAACUGUUAACAAGUUGGAGGAUACUGUGGUCGGAGCUGUGUGUUUGUUUUCUGUUGCAAGAGAGAUGUGUGAAUUUAAACUAUGUGGUUGAAAGAGCAAGAAAGAGGAGAACUCAGAGAUGAAAACUCUUGCAACAAUUGGCAGUACUUCAUAUCAUCGAGGAUGAGAGAAGAACAUAGCACUGCAGACAGAGGAGACAGCUAAACUAACUUUAACAUUCUCUUAAUCUUAUGACAUCCUAUUGCUGUAUGUCAUUAAUUGUUUGUUUUAAUUUUAUCUGGUUUUCAUUUUUAUUUCUUCGACUGUAUAACUUUGCUUUAAAAAUAAAUCUUGACUUGACAUGUGAAUAAAAUAUUUCAGUGGAAGUACCUAGGGAUAGAAUCCGAACCCAGCACUAAACAGGCACAAGGAGCUAAUUAAAGGACCCAUAUAUGUGUAAUUAGUGAGCUUUAGAGGUGCUAGUACUCCGAUUUUUGAGCCACUGGACAAAGCCAGGCUAACAGGUUCCCCAUGUUUCCAGCUUUUAUGCUAAGCUAAGCUAACUGGCUGCUGGCUAUAUUUAUUGAUCAUACAGAUAUGAGAGCAGUAUCGACUUCUCACCUAUUUCUUUAGCGUAAUUAGCGUAUUUCCCAUAACUAUUUAUUUAACAUUUUUUGUUGUAUUCAUUUUUAUUUACUAUUAUUUAUAAUAAUUAAUAGUGUUAUUGUCAUCUUAAACAAGAAAGUAAAUUAUGCAACUGUAAAAUGCCUGCCUCUGUAUAUUUUAUAACACUAAUAAACACAUUUGCAUUAGCAUA